GAUGAACGCUGGCGGUGUGCCUAAUACAUGCAAGUCGAACGGUGAUCUUAUGGGAGCUUGCUUCCAUUUGAUUAUAGUGGCGAACGGGUGAGUAACGCGUUGGUGAUCUGCCCCGAAGUGUGGAAUAACGUUCCGAAAGGGACGCUAAUACCGCAUGUGCUCAAGGUUUUUAGAAAGCUUUGAGUAAAGGAUUUAUUCGCUUCGAGAGGAGCCUGCGUCCCAUCAGCUAGUUGGUAAGGUAACGGCUUACCAAGGCUAUGACGGGUAGGGGACCUGAGAGGGUGGCCCCCACAAUGGAACUGAAACACGGUCCAUACACCUACGGGUGGGAGCAGUAGGGAAUAUUAGAAAUGGGCGAAAGCCUGAUCUAGCGACACCGCGUGUGCGAUGAAGGCCUUCGGGUUGUAAAGCACUUUUUGGAAGGAAUAGGAAGGAAGGUACUUCCAGAAUAAGUCUCGGCUAACUACGUGCCAGCCGCCGCGGUAAAAC
rnacentral:rRNA from 1 species